UGAAUACGAGAUGCUACGGCGUCGAAGCAGUGUAUGUCAGACUUCCAAGAAAAGCUCGCAAUGUCAUAAAUAAAGAAUGCCUGUACCAUAACCGACACAGGUGGGUAGGUAGAGUAUACUAAGGGGCGCGAGAUAACUCUCUCUAAGGAACUCGGCAAAAUAACUCCGUAACUUCGGGAGAAGGAGUGCCUUCUAUUAGAAGGUUGCAAUAACAAGAUCCAAGCAACUGUUUAUCAAAAACACAGGUCUCCGCUAAGUCGUAAGACGAUGUAUGGGGGCUGACGCCUGCCCAGUGCCAGAAGGUUAAAGAAGUUGGUUAGCUUUGGCGAAGCUGAUGACUGAAGCCCUGGUGAACGGCGGCCGUAACUAUAACGGUCCUAAGGUAGCGAAAUUCCUUGUCGGGUAAGUUCCGACCCGCACGAAAGGCGUAAUGAUUUGGAUACUGUCUCGGAGAGGGACUCGGUGAAAUAGACUUGUCUGUGAAGAUGCGGACUACCUGCACCAGGACAGAAAGACCCUAUGAAGCUUUACUGUAACUUGAAAUUGAAAUUGGACUUUAUUUGCGCAGCAUAGGUGGAAGGCGUUGAGAUUACUCUUGCGGGAGUACUGGAGCCAUCAGUGAGAUACCACUCCUAUAAUGUUAGAUUUCUAACUUUGGAUCAUGAUCUGGUCAAAGAACAGUUUCAGGCGGGCAGUUUGACUGGGGCGGUCGCCUCCCAAAUGGUAACGGAGGCGUACAAAGGUUUCCUCUGAACGGGUAGAAAUCGUAUCUAGAGUGUAAAGGCAUAAGGAAGCUUGACUGUGAGACCUACAAGUCGAGCAGGGACGAAAGUCGGUCUUAGUGAUCUGACGGUGCUGAGUGGAAAGGCCGUCACUCAACGGAUAAAAGUUACUCUAGGAUAACAGGCUGAUCUCCCCCAAGAGUUCACAUCGACGGGGAGGUUUGGCACCUCGAUGUCGGCUCAUCGCAUCCUGGGGCGGUAGUACGUCCCAAGGGUUGGGCUGUUCGCCCAUGAAAGCGGUACGCGAGCUGGGUUCAGAACGUCGUGAGACAGUUCGGUCCAUAUCCGGUGUAGGCGUUAGAAUAUUGAGAGGAGCCUUCUUUAGUACGAGAGGACCGAGAAGGACAUACCUCUGGUGUACCAGUUAUCGUGCCAACGGUAAACGCUGGGUAGCUAUGUAUGGAGAGGAUAACCGCUGAAAGCAUCUAAGUGGGAAGCCCACCUCAAGAUGAGUAUUCUCAUC
rnacentral:rRNA from 1 species